GCACAAGCGGUGGAGCAUGUGGUUUAAUUCGAUGAUACGCGAGGAACCUUACCUGGGCUCAAAUGUAUGUUGACGUAUUCUGAAAGGGAUACUUCUUCGGACAAUAUACAAGGUGCUGCAUGGUUGUCGUCAGCUCGUGCCGUGAGGUGUCGGGUUAAGUCCCAUAACGAGCGCAACCCCUAUCAUUAGUUGCCAUCAGGUCAAGCUGGGGACUCUAAUGAAACUGCCUACGCAAGUAGUGAGGAAGGUGGGGAUGACGUCAAAUCAGCACGGCCCUUACGUCCAGGGCUACACACGUGCUACAAUGGCCGGUACAAAGGGCAGCUACCUGGUGACAGGAUGCUAAUCUCAAAAGCCGGUCUCAGUUCGGAUCGGAGUCUGCAACCCGACUCCGUGAAGCCGGAAUCGCUAGUAAUCGCGCAUCAGCCAUGGCGCGGUGAAUACGUUCCCGGGCCUU
rnacentral:rRNA from 1 species